GGGUGAAUAGCUCAGUCGGAUAGAGCAACUGCCUUCUAAGCAGUCGGUCGGGGGUUCAAGUCCCUCUUCACCCG
rnacentral:tRNA from 3 species